rnacentral:rRNA from 1 species
UGGGGAAUAUUGGACAAUGGGCGAAAGCCUGAUCCAGCCAUGCCGCGUGUGUGAAGAAGGUCUUCGGAUUGUAAAGCACUUUAAGUUGGGAGGAAGGGCAUUAACCUAAUACGUUAGUGUUUUGACGUUACCGACAGAAUAAGCACCGGCUAACUCUGUGCCAGCAGCCGCGGUAAUACAGAGGGUGCAAGCGUUAAUCGGAAUUACUGGGCGUAAAGCGCGCGUAGGUGGUUUGUUAAGUUGGAUGUGAAAUCCCCGGGCUCAACCUGGGAACUGCAUUCAAAACUGACUGACUAGAGUAUGGUAGAGGGUGGUGGAAUUUCCUGUGUAGCGGUGAAAUGCGUAGA